rnacentral:antisense_RNA from 1 species
GGCUACUCCUCAAGAUCCUCUCUGUUGUGAUUCAUCCCCCCCAGGCCCUACAGUUUCUCCUUCCUGACUCUUACAUUUCUUUGGAUGGCAUCACUAUUUACCUGUCUCCUCCCAUAGUUAGUUGCCAAGCACUGUGGAUUCUACCCCUCAGGGUCCAGACACCCAUUUUCCUUCCCACUGUUCCCUCCCCAUGGAGAAGCCUGUGGCUGACUGACAGCUCAACUUGGAGAAGGUGUUACCUGGGCCAGGUGGGGAAGGUAGGGUUGUUUGCAGAGCAAAGAAGUGAAGCCUAUUCAAUGUGAAAAAGAUGAGGGCGAAGACCUUUAUGAUGAUCCAAGUAAUGAACACACUGGAGAAAGUCAAACAGUCAAAACAAUGUCCCAGACUCCGUGAAGUUCCUGGGUAGAGAAGUAGACAGACGUACACCAUACCUAAUAAUUGGAGGUCCAAGAGAAUGAGAGAAUGGCAGAAAGAACUUUAGAGCAUGGGUAUGAUGGCUAGAGCUUGAGCAGCCAUUGUGGACAUCAGAUGAACCUGAAAGUGAAAACUAUGAGCUGAAUAUGACAAAGCAAAUAGAAAACUGGAUUCAUGAUGACACUGCAAAGCUGCCAGACCAGCUCUAGUCUGCUUCUCCCUAAUCUUCCUUACUAAGAGAGAGAAAUAAACUUCCAUCUUCUUCAAG